rnacentral:rRNA from 1 species
UAAGGAAUAUUGGACAAUGGAGGCAACUCUGAUCCAGCCAUGCCGCGUGAAGGAAUAAGGCCCUAUGGGUUGUAAACUUCUUUUAGACGGGACAAAACCCCUUUACGUGUAAAGGGUUGAUGGUACUGUCAGAAUAAGCAUCGGCUAACUUCGUGCCAGCAGCCGCGGUAAUACGAAGGAUGCAAGCGUUAUCCGGAAUUAUUGGGUUUAAAGGGUGCGUAGGCGGACUAAUAAGUCAGUGGUGAAAGCCUGCAGCUUAACUGCAGAAUUGCCAUUGAUACUGUUAGUCUUGAGUACAGUUGAGGUAGGCGGAAUGUGUCAUGUAGCGGUGAAAUGCUUAGAUAUGACACAGAACACCGAUUACGAAGGCAGCUUGCUAAGCUGUAACUGACGCUGAGGCACGAAAGCGUGGGGAGCAAA